AAGCCCAGGCUGUGCCCUUUCCCCUCUGGCAGGCAGUGACUUAUUGCACAGGAGCUGGAGCAGGAGUGCUGGAGGGGGGAGAUAAUCAACCAAGUCUUGCUUUUCUCUAGAAACACUGAGAUGUGAGUCUGCACUCGGUGUUUGGGUUCACUGACUCGCUGCAGUCACUGUUAUUACGAGGUAGAGGCAUGAUCUGAGUUACUUGAGCUGUGUGUUACCAGGCUUGUGCAAGGACCAAGUGAAUGCUGCAGGGAGAAGCCCGAGCUAUUAGUCACUGGACUUCAUUUGUGAAAGUGAGACCAAAACAGAGGCUUUUUCUCCUAGGAGCAGAAACUGUUUUAGGAGUUUGUAGGAGCAGAACCUGAGUCAUCAAUUAUGGGAUGUUCCAUCUUUCUGCAGGGAUGAG